rnacentral:rRNA from 1 species
GUCUAUGGUCAUACCACCCUGAACUUGCCUGUUCUUGGAAGAUAAGCAGGGUUGGGCCUGUUUAGUACUUGGAUGGGAGACCAUUUGGGAAUAUUAGGUAUUAUAGGCU